AUCUUAUGUUGGUAAAGACGAUAUGUCUCAGGAAAUUUUAUUUGCAAAAUUAGCUACAAGAUCACAAAGAAAGUUUAUUGAUAAAUUGCAAAGUUUCUGGUCGUAGGGAGCUGCAGAAAUGGCUGUUGGGGAUGCUCUUAUUUAACACCUUCAUCAUUAAUUUGGAAGAAGGAGUGAAUCCCUCCCUGUGUUCAUGAAAAUUACAGUUUAUACUAAAUCAGGACGUGGUGUGAACACUGAUUAGCCAGAGACUGACACAAAGGGGUCCCAAAAGGGGAUAAUUGGACAGACGCAAGAGCUAACUGAGGAAAGUGUCUUAAGGUGUGUUUUGAUUUACCUUUCUUCACAGAGAACUGAGUUAGAAUCUGACAGCAAAGCAGGGCCACACAGACUUGGAGGAAGAGGUGGACAAUGGAAAAGAAUCUGUUAGUGCCUUUCACCCUCCUCCAUGAUUGUGAGACCUUCCCCAGCCACG
rnacentral:lncRNA from 1 species